GUUAGAUGCUCGUAAUAAUAUAUUUUGUCAUCCAUCAGAGGUUGGCUUACAUUGUCUAAGAUGAUUCAUAUUGCAUUGAUAGCAAGUUCAAAAUUCAAAGCUUGCGCUUGUGUAUUCUUUUUGAUGUGGUAAUACUUCAACAGACACAUAUAUCAAUUUUCUGGAAGAUACAAAUGGAUACUGAGCUCUCAUGCUUACUUUUUAUGCAUACUGUCAAUAUCAUAUGCAUGUGCUUUAUAUAUCAUACAGAUGCUUUUGUUCCUGUUCAUUCUGUUUUUCAGUUAUUUAUGUGGGACCUACCUAAGUUGUGAACUCAAAC
rnacentral:misc_RNA from 1 species